CCUACGGGAGGCAGCAGUGGGGAAUAUUGGGCAAUGGACGCAACUCUGACCCAGCAACGCCGCGUGAAUGAUGAAGGUCUUCGGAUUGUUAAGUUCUUUUCUAAGGGAAGAAGAAAGUGACGGUACCUUAGGAAUAAGCCUCGGCUAACUACGUGCCAGCAGCCGCGGUAAUACGUAGGAGGCAGGCAUUAUCCGGAAUGACUGGGCGUAAAGGGUGCGUAGGUGGUUUGACAAGUUAGUAGCGCAACUCCGGAGCACAACCUCGGAACUACUACUAAAACUGAUGGACUUGAGUGCAGGAGGGGCAAUCGGAAUGCGUGGUGUAGCGGUGGAAUGCGUAGAUAUUACGAGGAACACCAGUGGCGAAGGCGGAUUGCUAGACUGUAACUGACACUGAGGCACGAAAGCGUGGGGAGCAAACAGGAUUAGAUACCCCAGUAGUC
rnacentral:rRNA from 1 species